rfam:Rattus norvegicus chromosome 13, whole genome shotgun sequence.
GGGGAUUUAGCUCAGUGGUAGAGCGCUUGCCUAGCAAGCACAAGGCCCUGGGUUCGGUUCUCAGCUCCG